UUGUGUGAAAGAAGCAUUAAAGUUCUAGUCAAAUUUGCAAGUAAAAAGUGUGGAACUACUGGGGAACCACUAAAGCUUCCUUGUUUUUUCUUGCUAGGCUGUAUAUGGCAGAAGAAUAACUGGUUUUAUAAAGAACACCAUCCCAAAUUCACUGCUAUGGUUAGAAGAUUUGGAGCAAGCCUCAUCUGAAAAGCAUGAAGAAUGAUUCUGAUCAUCAUAGAUUGGGCUCCAGAGAUGCUCCCAGAGCCAGGAGAUGCAAGAAGAAGCAAUGAUAUGUUAGCAGUCAAUUGAUUUGACGUGAUUCUGGGAAACUGUACAAUAAUGUGGGAAUACAAGAUGAUCUUUCACCUAAAAGGGCUUGCCUCAUAAGCCUGAAGACCUGAGUUUGAUUCCCAGAUCCCAUGUGAAGGUAGAAAGAAAACCAGACGCUAUGCAGUUCUCUGAUCUCCACAACGAGCCCUGACAUAAAGUACCCCUGCCUAUCCCCACAAAUAUACCAUACACACAAAUGUUCACAACAGUAAUAAAUAAAACUAAAAUUUAAAAUAAU